UCCAAAACAGAACAUUCAGUCACCGCCCGUCCCUGUGCUCAGCUGUCCUUGUGCUCCUGACCUCGCUUCCUGCCCACCCGCCCGUUUGUUUUUUUCCUCCCCACCCCCUAGUAUCCUUGUCUCUUACUGACAUCUCGCGAAGAUGACCAGGGCAGGCAAGACAGAGUCAGAGAGAAAGAGAAGCUGAGAGGCCGAGACGGGAGAGAAUCGGAGAGACUGUCAGGCACUGACGGAUCAAGACAGAGGCCAGUCACGAGCGAGACAAAGAUGGGGUUCAGACAGAGGACGUGUGCCCAAGACCUCGGCUCCUGUAUCUUUGUUCUCCAGCAUCUGUUGCUGCUCGACACAGAGGAGGAGUGCUGGCGUGUUACUUACUGAGCGCUUACCAUAUGUCGUGCCUCUGGGUUUCAUCUGGAAGUGGGAAGAAGUCUGACAUGCCGACCCUGACUCAGAGUGUGGUCAGGGUCAGACACGACGGUGCUACGUCAUCAGUGGGUCUCCUUGGUGGAAGCUGGGUGCACUCCGAAGAGCAAAGGUUUUGGAGAUACACAGUGGGUUUGUGUCCCGAUCCUUCUCUGUGUGGCCUCAAGCAAAUUGCUUGACCCCUCUCUCCAAACCUAGACUCCAAACCCAGAUUUGCUCAUCCUACCUGGUAGGAUUGUUGCCAGCCCAUGCUUAUGAAAUGCAAGGCCCAGGCCUGGAUGUGACUGACAGAUACCGAGGUGGGCCUCAGCUUGUAAGGCUGGCAGAGCCUCUUAAUUUUCCAUCCCUGCCUUUCAAUGCGACGCAAGCUUCCUGCAGUGAGGGCCACAAACCAGGGAAGAGCUGGAGUCGGCGAAUCCAGCGCAUCUGGAUUCAGGUUCGGCCUCGUCCACGCCCCCGCUGCUCGGUUUCAGACAAGCCCCUGGGCCUGUCUGAACUCCAAGUCCCACCUCUACCUCCAAGGCCCCCUUGCUGUUUCUCAAACACAGCUGUUACGCCUGCACCCAAGCUGCGAGAGAGGCUGCGAAAAGCACAAACCUGAGGCUCAGAGAGGUGAAGUCACUGACCUCAGGUCACAUAGCCAGAAAGUGAAGGAGCCAAGAAUCCAGAUGCGGAAACUGAGGCUCAGCUGAUGAAGCCCCUGGCCAGAAGUCACACAGCUGGAUUGAACCCAGGCAGAUUCUUUACUGAUUGAGCCACCAGGGAAGAUCCAGCCCCCAAGGUCAGUAGCAUGGAGGCUGAGAACCCUGCUGUAAGUGGAACAGACCUUUGAACGUCACUUUGUAUGGCAUAAGGAAUUAUGCAGCUAUGAUUUAGCUAAAGAUCUUGAGCUGGGAAGAUGAUCCUGGAUGAUCUGAGUGGGCCCAAUGGAAUCACGGGAGUCCUUAUAAGAUGGAGGCUGAAGGAGGUUUGACCACAGAAGAGGAGAAGGCAGAGAGAAUGACAGAACCAGAUUGAAAGGAGGCACAUUGAAGAGGGAAGAAGGGGCCACAAGCCAAGGGAUGCAAGUCACCACUGGAAGUUGGAGAAGACAAGGAAACAGCCUCUCCUCAGAGCCUCCGGCAGGAGCCAGCCCUGCCAGCAUCUUGACUUCAGUCCAGAGACUGAUUUCAGACUUCUGACCUCCAGAACUCUAAGUAAAUAAAUUUGUGCUCUUAAGCCACGAAAUUUGUGAUCAUUUGCUACAGCAGCCGUGGGAAACUGAUGCAGAUGCCAUGGGGAAGACAGAGGUGGGGAGAGUGGGGUGGGCAGUGACGUGGGGAGAGUGAAGUGGGAGCUGGGGGACCAAGGCUGGGGGCUACUGCAGUAGUCCAGGCAGGAGAUGAGGGUGGGCAGAGAGAAGUGGAUGGAUUCAAGAGGACUUUAGGAAGCCAGACAGGCAGCCUUGCUGAUGGG
ensembl:lncRNA